UUUCCCCUAUGUAACCUUAUCAUAGCCAAAAUGAUUUUUUCAUAACCCGCCAUAAUAUCUAUCAUCUUUCUUUCAAGCCUUCGUUUGAUCAUGUGUACAUUAGUGGCAUGUAACUCAGUUGAGUCUAUGAGUCAAUGUUACUAAGUUUUGAAAAAUGCUGGAGUCUCCCUUGUUCAGGUUGAUUGAUAGGUAGAAUCUCGAAAAAAAUGAAAAAAAGAGAAAAAAAUUUUAAAUCUCGAAAAAGGAAGGAGACAAGCAAAAAAAUUCAGUCUCGAGAUAAGAAAA
rnacentral:lncRNA from 1 species